UAUACCUUUUUGAGCAAACAGCCAAAAAAAAAAAAACACUCUCGAUCUCUCAAUUUUAUCUUUCCCGUGUUCUGAACUUCAAAAAACCCUUAACUGGACUCAUUGCUUGUGCGAGUUCAACCCUAAACUUUCAAUAAUCGACCAAAUCACAUUGAAGAGAACAACAACAAUAAGGAAAAACUCCAAAACAAUUGGAGCAAGAGGUGAAGACUAAAGAGUUGGGAAAGUAGAUAACUACUCCAAAUCAACUCAAAUUGAAGGGGAGAACUUCCAUAGAAGACUAUGAGUUCUUUUUAGAACUAUUUUUACAUUUAAUGAGGGUUAUGAGUUUCUAAUACCAUUCUUUCUACUGUUUUAAAUGAUCUCAUGGAUUUAAUUUUGGUUUUUUUUUUCUUCUCAAACCUGAGAUUGAGAGAAAUUUUUUAUUUUAGCAUGUAGGAAAUGUUUGUGAUCGAAAUUGCACUAAACCGUUUUCGGAAAUCAUGCAUUAUGCAUAUGUGAUGUUUAUGAAUCUGUGAAGAGCCAACUUCUAGUAUAGUUUAGAAAUGAAAAGUUUAGGGCAAGGGUAGCAAUCUGAAUGAGUAAUGGACAACAAAGAAAAUACUCAUUCAGAAGAGUUAGAUGCAGUGAGACUAAAAAGUUAGGCAAAAUCUUGACAGUACUUUUAUUCAUUCCUAGUUGUUAGAAAUUAGUGUAAAUUCGUUUUAGUAAUUGAGAUUAUUUGAUAAUUAUGGUUA